rnacentral:lncRNA from 1 species
UCGCUCUUGUUGCUGCAGUUUGUCUUUAUUUGCGAGAUGUUGCUCAAGGUAAGUCUCAAUUGAACUGUGGUAAAAAUAAAUGGCGAAAGUUAUGGGUUCUGUUCCUUCUUCUCUGAUUAAUUGACUGAAAAUAAAAUUGUUUCUCAUAUCAUCAUUGUCAUCAUCAUUAUCAUCAUCAUCAUUGUUGUUGUUAUCCAUGUUUUUACUUCCUUUUUAUUCCAUGCUGUCAUGGUUUGUAUGAAACAUCUUAGGGAAGGUGGGUGUUCUGUGGACGGAUGCUCUCCCUGUCACCAACUUUAUUGCACUGAUUUUUGUCUGUUGAAACUGCUGAGUUACAAAAGCCUUGCAAACAUGAUGUCAUUGUUGUCCUGAUGGUGACAGAGUGAAGACCUGCAAAGGGAAAUAUUUAUGCACACUUGCAUCUGUGCAUAUACAUGCAUAUACACAUAUGCACACCAUGCACUCACAAACAUUUGUGCAUGUAUGCGCAUGUGUGUUUGUGUGUGCUUGUAUGUAAGUGUAGAUAGACAGACAGACAGACAGAUAGAUCGAUCAAAAAGGCAGUUGCCUUCUAGUUUAGACAAGUAAAUCCUUGUGAGUGGAUUUGGUAGAUGGAAACUGAAAGAAGCCUGUUAUAUACGUCUGUGUGUGUGUGUAUGUGUUUUCUUUAGUUCUUUUCCGAAAAUUCCGGCUUCAUUGUCCAGUUAUUUUUUAGAUCAGUAACCUUUAACAAGGAAUUAUGCCACACCCUAACUGGGCCUACAGCUUUUAUAUAAACUGAUACGAGUUAAUAAUUGACAAAUAUAAGGCGUGGCUGUGUGGUAAGGAGCUUGCUUCCCAAUCACAUGGUUCCGGGUUCAGUCACAAAUGUCUUCUAUAGCCUCAGGUCAACCAAAGCCUUCUGAGUGGAUUUGGUAGCCGGAAACUGAAAGAAGCCCAUUGUGCAUAUAUAUGUGUGUGUGUCUGUUUGUCCCCCAACAUCACUUGACAACCGAUGUUGGUGUAACGUUGCGGUUCGGCAAAAAAUCCGAUGGAAUAAGAAUGAGGCUUACAACGAAUGAAUCCUGGAGUCUGUUUGUUCGACUAAAGACGGUGUUCCAGCAUGACCGCAGUUUAAUGACUGCAAAAGAAUAAAAUAAAAUAAAUAUAAUCAACUGGAUUGCAGAUUUUGGUGGAGAGAUGUAAGGCAAGGGAGGUAACUGCUUAAGUAGCAAGGGGGGUAACUCUGAGGAGAAUAUAUAUUUUUUACUUGUUUCAGCCAUUAGACUGUGGCAAUGCUGUGGCAUCGCUUUGAAGUGUUCAGUGGAACAAAUCUACUCUUUUGACGAAUCCCUCAGUUACGGGACGUAACCGUACCAACACCGCUUGUAAAAUAGUGAUGGGAGCAAAUACAGCCAAAAGACACACAUAUAUAGAUACAUGCUUGUAUUAUUUGUAUGUGUGUGUGUUUAUGUAGGCGUGUGGCUUAGUGGUUAGAGUGGUGCACUCAUGAUCAUAAGAUUGUGGUUUCGAUUCCUGGACUGGGCGAUGUAUUGUGUUCUUCAGCAAAACAACCUUACAUGUUGCUCCAGUUCAUUCAGCUGGCAAAAGUGAGUAAUCCUGGAACAGCUCAGCGCCCCACCCAUGGGGUGGAUUAACGGGUGGAAUACACACACAAUCACACACACACACACACAUAUAUGCCUCAGAAACUGGGAAACUGGCCUUAUGAAGCUAUGGAUCAGGAAGGUCUGGGGCUAUAGUAGGAGACACUGGGACUGAACCCAGAACCUUGUGAUUGGGAAGCAAAUGUCUUACCACACAACCAUGCUUGAUUUUGUUUUUAAACUUAUUUAAAUACCUCAACCAUCUUUAAAUAUUUCCUUACUCGAUCAACCCACAGUUUAACUUAAAAACAAAACUCUGUCCUGCUCCACUUAUCAUUAAUAUGUUCUUGGUUUUUUUUUGUUAUAUGCUUUAGUGGGUCCUUAAAUUAACCUUUUUGCAUUUUUCUCUGCAAAUGUUUAUUUUUAACCUAAACGUAUUGUAUUUUACUUGAAAAGCAUUUGUGUGCACACAUAUUAAUGUACGUGUGAGUGGACGUAUAUAUAUUUAUAUAUAUAUACAUAUGUACAUACACAUAUAUAUAUAUCAUUGUAUUUGUAUGCAUGUGUUAAACACACAUAUGCAUAUACACACACACAUUCACAAAAUCUUGCGUGCCAUUAUUUAUAAACUUUGGAACUUAUACUUUUCAGGAGGAAAACUUAAUGAAAGUGCUCGGACUAGAAACGAGAGAAAGACACAAAGUCUGGAUAUAAAUGGGUAAGAUUCAUAUAUAUAAAUAUACAUACCGAAUCUGCACUCUCACCCCCCCCCCCAAUCGCACCCCCCACCCACGUGCUCUCGAAUCAUGCAUUUUCACAAUAUCCUGCCGCUUAUAUUAUGACCUUUGAACCUUAAGGGUAUGCCCUGGCACUUGCCACUAUCUAUAUCUCUCUCUUCCUUUACUUAACCGUCCCUUUCAUAUUCUGAUCUCCAUCUCUUGUGAGUAUGCCAGGCACUUUACACCAUCUCUAUCCUGCUGUCUCCUACUCUCCCUUGCAAUCAUCUCUCUUGCACACUACAUCUGAUGCCUCUUCUUCUUAAUUUUUCUCUCAAGAUGCUUACACUCUCUCAAACCUUUACACUGACAUUGCACAUCCAGCAAAGCGUACUGGCUUCAUUUCUUUCAAGCCUACUCAUGUCCCUUGGCUGUCAUAGCCCAUGUUUCACUGACAUGUAGCAUAGCUGUUUGCACACAGUCAUUAUACAAUCUGCCUUUCACUCUGAGAGAGAGGCCCUUUGUUGCCAGCAGAUGUAGGAGCUCUCUGAACUUGGCCCAUCCUAUUCUUAUUCUCACAGCUACACACUUGGAGCAUUCACCUCCACUACUAACUUGACCACCUAGAUAAAAGCUAUCUAUUACCACCUCUAGCUUGCCUCCCUGGCAGUUGAUGGAGUCUAUUUUCUGCACAUUUUCAGAAUUUAUUGUACCUGUGCAUUUUCCACAUACAAAAGCUGGUUUCUCUAUUAACCUUCCUCUGAUAUUGCUGCACCUUUUAUGUGUCCAAAGCUUACACAAGGUACAUCCUACAGAUCGAGCAGGGCCAUCUACCUGAAGGGAUUUGUGAUUUGUUUGCCUUCCUAUUUACAAAGACUGGUUUUUCUAGGUUAACUCUAAGGCUCUUUGAUUCUAGACCUUGCUUUCAUACCGGAACUUCUCUAGUUCUGGUAGUGAUUCGGGUAUAAGAGCAAGGUCAUCAGCAUAGAGGAGCUCCCAGGGGCAACUUGUCUUAAAUUCCUCUGUCUGGAGGACUAUGAUGAAUAAGAAGAGGCUGAGGACCAUUCCUUGGUGAACCCCUACUUGUACUCUAAUACUUUGCUGUACUUGUUACCACCCCUUGCCUUACUGGUACUGUCCCUGUACAAGGGUUGUACUGCUCUCGCUAACUACUUGUCUAUCUCUGGUUUCCACAUUGACCAACAGAUAAGGGAUCAGAGGAUCCUGUCAAAGGCUUCUUCAAGUCAACAAAAGCCAAAUACAGAGGUUUAUCUUUGGCUGUCUCCUAGCUUCCCUUCUGGCUAUCUGAUACAGUUCUCUGCUACCCACUCUAUUUCUCUGCUCUAAUGGCCCCAUCUACAGUAUUGUUCCACCACCAUAUUAUUCUAGGUCUGGAGAGGACUUUGCACAAACUACAGAUUUGGUCUGUGUCUCUCAACAAGCUGUCCUGCAGGAAGUCCCAGUUGCCCUCCAUGUCACAAGUUUGUAGCCCCUCCUCCUCCCGCUCAUCAAAUUUCUCAAUUAGGAUCUCACUAAAUCUCUGAGCACAUAAAGGAUCCUUAAAAUUCCAAAUCCUUCUUUUCCAUAUUGGUCUUCUUCUUGGCAUCCUUCUGGCCUUGAGUCUAAAGUCACUAAUGACUAGUCUAUGCUGGGGGAUACAUUCUUUACCAGGGAGGGUCUUUGUAUUUAAGAAUAACCGUGCAUCCCACUGCCUGGUGAGAAUGUUAUCAAUCUGGCUAGCGUUGCCACCUGAUUGGUAGGUUAUCAGGUGGCUGGUCAGCUUCCUGAAGUUGGUGUUGCAGAUCAAUAGGUUAUUUGGCGUCACAGGGCUCCAGUAGCCUUGUUCCAUCUUCGUUUCAGAAACCAAUUCUAUGCUCCCAUGUACACCAUGGAUGAUACCAGGCUGCCACCUGACAUGCCCAUUGUAAUCCCCAGCCACAAAGAUGAGAUCAUUGUCACUUGUCUUUGAGGUAGCCUGUAGAAGAAUAUCAUAAAAGUGGUCCUUCUGUUCAUUUGGUAUGUCUGCUUGUGGGGUGUAGGCAGAGAUAAUUGUAGGUAUAUAAAAGAAAUUAGUUGUGUGUGCAAAAAUUGUAAAUAUUUGAUAAAUAUUGUGAUAUAUAUAUAUAUAUAUAUAUAUAUAUAUAUUAGUAUGUAAAUGUAAUUAUUUCUGUUGAUGUGUUAUGUUGAGAGGGUUUUCAGAUAUUUCCAAGAAACUCCUAAAGUUUAGAGCAUUAACCCCCAAAUGCCUUUGAAAGAUUUGUCCAGUUUCCCAUCAUAUUAUUUAGCUCUGUUGUUAAAUAACCACAAACAAUGAUGAAACUAUUUUGUAAUUCCAGCACGGACUAAUCUGACACUAAAUAAAAAGACCAAAUCUGGAACAUGUAACUAUUUUUUGUACCCUUGUACCCCCAACCAUUGUUAUAUAAAUAUACGGACCCUGAAACAUAUUGCUUUAAUUGUAACCCCAUAAAUACGACUUGUUAAAUGUUUAUGCUUUGUGAUUCUAUAAAUGCAACUCUUUAGAAGCCUGUUAAAUAUAAUGUGUUGUUGCAACAGAUGGAGUGCUCCAGCUGGGUGCUGGGACACUAUAUCAAUAUCAGUUGAUUCUAUGAAUGGAACAACUGGCUCAUGAAAUCAACUUGCAAGUUGCUGAGCACACCACUAAGCCAUGCACCUUAAUUCUGAGGUAUAUAGGGCUCUUUGUAAAUAGUGUGAUCGCAUAAAUAAAACCUGUUAAAUGUAAUGUUUUCUUUAGGACCCACUCAGCCCAAUGUUUUUAAUACAAUUCUAUAAAUAGUAGGGAAUACUAGGGGGUUUGUAGACCAGUCCAUCUGCAGAGCUUUACAGCUUGUUUACCAUCACAGGGGCCAGUUGGUAGGGAGCCAUGUGUUUCGCUAUGGAAGCAGUGGAAGUUGCCUCAAGGUGGAUCAGAAAGUGUGAACCUUUGCAGGGGCAGUGUUACCAAGGGUAGUGCUAAUUGGAUACAAGGUGGGGUUUGAUCAAUCCUGGGUGGGUCAGCUGAGUGAAGGUGCCUGAUGUUGAAAGACCUAUUACACCUAAUGACCCUUGGGAACAUACCUGAUGAUGUGUCCAGGACAUUACAAGAUUAUGUAUGGAAAAAAAAAAGUAAUCCCUUAAAUACAGUACUUUAAAUUUGACCCCUACCCCAUUUAAAUAUAACUCCCUAUAUGUAAUGAUCUUUAAACUACAAACCCUCUUUUAAUUACUAAAUGAUUUCUGUCUUCAACCCCUUGUUCCCUAUUUCUCUUUUCCCCUAUUUAUAACCCUUUUUUCUCUUUUCAGCCUUUUUAUUUUUUGUUAUUUUCCUCUUCUUCUUUCUCAAACCUACAAAUGUUUUGUCCUGUUUCCAACCUUGUUCAACCCAUAUUCCUUGUUUUUGUGCCAUUUUCUAAACAAUUUUGAUAGAAGAGGCUCAGGACACCUGUUACUCAACAAAAGUUUUCUUUUUUUUUCUGUCCCUCCAUUCUAAACUAUGGAUGCACAAAAGAAUCAUUUGGUUCAUAAACAAGAUGAGGGAGAAGGGCUACAAAUGUAAGUGAAGUACAGGAAUAAUGAGCAGUAAGGGCAUCCAUAAAAUUAAUUUUAUCAAAUACUCUAUAGAGUUUCCUGACUAUUGAAACACCCAUCUCUUCUGCUGAUUUGGUCACCUAGGUAACAUAGGUAACCCUUACUACGUGGAAACAGAGUAUAUUUGAUUCUAAGCAUGUGCACUCGAGACACAGGAACCAAGUUAACUCAUUUUUGAUUUGAAAUUCUCUGCAAUUCAUAUGACAUAGCACAGAUGUUUUGUCCUUACUGGGCCCUAGAAAGAGGUUGCAAGACAUUUUGUCCUUACUGGGCCCUAGAAAGAGCUUGCAAGACGUUUUGUCCUUACUGGGCCCUAGAAAGAGGUUGCAAGACAUUUUGUCCUUACUGGGCCCUAGAAAGAGCUUGCAAGACGUUUUGUCCUUACUAGGCCCUAGAAAGAGGUUGCAAGAAAUUGUUUGCACAUGAUUAACAGGUUACAUCUCUGGCAGAAUUGUUCGCACGCUGGAUGAAAUGCUUAGCAGUAUUUUGCCUGUCACUACGUUCUGAGUUAAAAUUCCACUGAGGCUGACUUUGCCGUUCAUCCUUUUGGGGUCGAUAAAAUAAGUACCAGUUGAACACUGGGGUCAAUGUAAUCAACUCAUCCCCACUUCCCCCAAGCUGCCCUUGUGGCAAAACAAAAAUUGAUAUUAUUAUUAUUAUUAUUAUUUCUUUACUUUUUCCUAAUUGUUAAUGUUUCAAUAUUUUGUCUUUUUCUUCUUUCAGAGAUUAAUUCAUUCAAACAAAAAAAAAAAAAAGAAACUGGAGAAAAAUAUGUAAAAAAAAGUUGAAGCAAAAAAACAAACACACUUUUAUUUGAACAUUACCAAUGUUAUUAUUAUUAUUUUAUUUUUACACAUUUGUCAAAAAAAAAAAAGACAGAAAGAAGCAGGAAAAAACUUCAGAGAAAUCAUGACAUUAGAAAAUUUUAAAAUUUGUGUGUGUGUGCGCACGCGCGUGUGUGUGCGCGUGCGUGUGUGUGUGUGUGCGCGCGCGUGAGACUAGGUAACUAUGUCCAUAUAGUUUCAUUCAAUUAUUUGAGUUAAUAUAAAAGAAGCAAAUAGAAUACUUCAGUGUUCACCUAUAAUAUACAUCCAGUGAGAAUCCACAUGAAACUAUGGUAUGGACUUAAUACAAGUUACCUACACACACGCAGAGACACCCUUCCAUAUACAAAGGCUCUUUACCACAGGGCAUAUAUUAUACACUUCAAUGCUUACACGUGUAAACUACUCCAUAUAUAUGCAUAUAUAUAUGUAUUUAUAUAUUUAUAUGUAUAUACAUAUGUAUGUGUAUGUGUGUAUAUAUAUGAAUGUUUUAUAUAUAUAUAUAUAUAUAUAUAUAGCAGCCUAACAGUCCGGUGUAAAUGGUCUGAAAUCUGAAGAAGCUGUGAAAUUUUUAAUUAUUUUUAACACAUGCAAAUUGGUUGUGCAAGGGAGAGAAGGGAAGGUGGGUGCUACAUUAUCAAUGUGAAGAAGAAGGGGUUAGAAGAAGUUUAGAUGUGACCCCUACUUGGUUAACUGCAGUCUUGGAUUAGUAUGAAGGCCUUCAAAAUAUGUCUGUCAAUGUUAUACUCACUCUCUCAGUCUCUCUCACUCAUGUAUGCAUGUGAAUAUAUAUAUAUAUGUGUGUGUGUGUGUUUGUAUAUAUCUAUGUUUUUGGUUUUAUUCAAAAAUUGCAUUCUCUCACAUAAACUCGAUUAUGUCCUGCAUAAUAAAUAAAGUGUGCGAUUGUUGUGAGGGGAGAUGAAUGAGAGGACAAAUGCUGAUUUGUAUGAUUCAUAUAUAUGUGUGUGUGUGUGUGUGUGUGUAUGUGUGCUUACAUAUAUAUAUCUGAAACAGCUCAAUAAUGUAUAACAUUAUCAGUAAGCCAUACUUAAUGUGUGUCAGUUGUUAAAUGCUUAUACCUGCUGUAUUUCGUCUAAGUGUGUCCUUUUGAAGUUGCAUAGCUAUGCCUUCCAUUGAUGUAGACUGUGUUUUUUAACACUGUAUGUCUUUAAAUGCUGCAUAUACAUAUAUUAAGUAUGUGAUAAUGAUAAUACACAGAUACAUGUACACACACACACAUGUAUAUGAUAGAUGUAUGUAUAGAUAUAUAUGUAUGUAUGAUGGAUGUAUAUAUAUAUAUGUAUGUAUAUAUGUAUAUAUACAUGUAUAUAUGUAUGUAUAGAUGUAUGUAUGUAUAUAUAUAUAUAUAUAUACAUAUAUAUAUAACUAAAAUGAUAUUUUUAUAUAUGUAUGUAUAGAUGUAUAUGUAUAAAUAUGUAUGCAUGAAUAGAUGUGUGUAUGUGUAGAGGUGUGUGUAUAUAUAUAUUUGUGUAUGUGUGUGUAUAUAUAUGUAUAUACAUAUAUAUAGCAUAUGCAUAUAUGUGUUUCUAUGUAUAUAUAAAAUAUAUAGCAGUGUCUUGCGUGAGCAUAUGCAUUUUUGCUGAUAUGUAUAUGUAUGUAUGUAUGCAUAUAAGUAUAUAUGUAUGGGUAUGUAUAUAACAUGUGCAAUAAAAAUCAUAUAUAUCUAUAUAUAACCUACAUGUAUAUAUACUUUUUAUAAUUGUGUGUAUGUAUAAAUAAAUGAAUGCAUGAAAGAGCGACAAAGAUGAUCACAUGACUUUUUCCUGGUUCCAUUAAAUCUUUUAAUCUGUUAAUUGUGGAUUUUAUUAUUAUUGUUAUU